CCUACGGUAGGCAGCAGUGGGGGAUAUUGCACAAUGGGGGAAACCCUGAUGCAGCGACGCCGCGUGGGCGAAGAAGUAUUUCGGUAUGUAAAGCCCUAUCAGCAGGGAAGACAAAAGGACGGUACCUGCAGCAGAAGCCACGGCUAACUACGUGCCAGCAGCCGCGGUAAUACGUAGGUGGCAAGCGUUAUCCGGAAUUACUGGGUGUAAAGGGUGUGUAGGCGGGUUUGCAAGUCAGAUGUGAAAAUUAUGGGCUCAACCCAUAACCUGCGUCUGAAACUACAGAUCUUGAGAGUGGGAGAGGUAAACGGAAGUCCCGGUGUAGCGGUGAAAUGCGUAGAUAUCGGGAGGAACACCAGUGGCGAAGGCGGUUUACUGGACCACAACUGACGCUGAGACACGAAAGCGUGGGGAGCAAACAGGAUUAGAUACCCCAGUAGUC
rnacentral:rRNA from 1 species